GAUACCCGGAUUGUAAACAAAUGUGACUUCUAUUGCUAAAGCAGAUGAUACUGACAUGACUGAUAGUGAAUGAAAUGUUAAUAACCAUUCUCACUAUUAUCUGUGUGAUGGAUCAACGAUGGGCAGCAGUAGUAGUAGCAGCUUGAAGACCCAGGGUGUGGCUGCAUUGAGCUCAACCAACUCCACAAAACAAAUUAUUAACACAGAUAUAAAUAACUCGUCUAAACCCUCCAAAAAUAUUGACAAAAAUAAACCGCUCCCUGCAGAGGAAACUGUUGUUAACCCUUGGCCGAUACAAGGAAAAGAGAAUUCAAAAAUUGUUGAGAAACGGAAAAAUGUGGAGACUCAGACAAAGUCAGAUACCCUGAAGGAGAAUAGUGCUCCUGUCAGAACACAAGGUGAUGCUGAACAAUCCUCAAAAGAAAACGAGAUGAAGGCAUCUAAAGUUUCCGUCAAGUCCGCAUCCAAGGUUGAUGUUGUCGCCAGGAAGAAAGCUGAAGAAAAGAUGGUUGUGACAGCGUCGAUGAAAGAGCAGGCAGACUUCAAUAUUGCAUUACGGUUAAUGUGCCCCCUGAUGGCCCCAGAUGAAAUCAUGAAAUAUUCCAAGCUGGGUGUGCUGCGUGUUCAGCUUCUGAGGGCAUUGCCCCCUGGUGGUGACCUAUUCAAGUUGCUGAGAGGUCUUCGUAAUCUGCAAGAGCUGGAUGUGUCCCAUAACGAUCUUGGACCACAGGGUUUCCGAGCCCUCAUGUUGGCCAUGGCUGAUAAUGGAACAAUCAAAUCACUAAAUGUGGCAAAUAAUCAAACAGAUGUAGACUCCGCUAAAUCGAUUGGUAUCAUGCUGUCUUCCAAUCGUUGUCUCAUUGACCUUGACCUCAGCAGCAACUACCUGGGCAAGGAUUUCCUGUCACGGAGUAUUGGACCCGCCCUCAAGGUCAACAAGACGCUGGGGUCGCUGAAGGUGGAGAGUUGUGGGUCGACAGACUUGACCGUGUUUCUAGACGGAUUGUUGGAGAACUCGAUAUUGACUGACCUGAAUCUCAACCAUAAUGAGAUGGGAGAUAAGGCACAUUUAGGUAUUGGUCUUGCAAAAUGUCUCAAGAAGCCAGAUUGUGCCUUGCAGUGUCUACGCCUGCAAAACUGUGGUAUCAACGCUGCUGGUAUGAAAGCAAUAGAGGGCGCUCUGAGAAGCAAUACAUCACUGCAUGUAAUCAACCUGGCUGGCAACGAGCUCUCCACCCAGAGUUCGUUGAUGGAGUUACUAGGCACGUGUCUGAUACAUUCCAACCUUGAGAUGUUAACCCUCGAUGAUUGUCGGAUUCUGGACAAGGGCACAGUCAAGUCAGAUUCUUUCUCUACGUUUGAUGCACCGUCCAAGAUGAAGUUGCUGAGCCUGUCCAGCCUCUCUCUCUCAGAUGAUGCCAUGGGGACCUUCUUCAAGGUCACAGGAGCAAAGCUUGACCAACUGGAAAACCUCAACUUAUCAAACAAUUCAGUUUCUGUGGCAACGUUAAAAACAUUCCAAGACGUGACGACGAGGGAAGAUGGCAGUAGCAGCCUUGAGAGUUUACAUCUCUGCCUCAAUGAUGUGUCUUAUCUGCCCGAGUUCUUAUCUGCGUCAAAUCUUCACAAUCUGCGAGUCCUAAAUCUACGACGUGCUCGGGUCAAACCAACAACAGUCCAGGAUCUGGCACCCUCCAUCCAAAAGCUUGGAAUCUCAGCGUUAAUCUUGAAUGGCCUUAAGUUAUCGAGGACGACUGCUCUCACUGAGAUUCUAGGCAACGGCCCAAACAACCCCCUGGAACUUCUUUCCAUCUCGUCAUGUGCCCUUGUUGACAACGAUAUCAAACAGAUCGCCAGCGCAAUCAAAGAUGGCUGCCAACUGCAGAUGCUCGAUGCAAGCGCCAAUAGAAUCACAGAUAAAGGUGUGGCGGACAUUGUUGGAGCUCUCAUCUCAAUGGAGACACAUCCGUUGCAACUGUUAGACCUGUCUUCCAAUCAGAUCACCUCCUCUGGAGCAGAAUGUUUGUCAGGUCUGUUCCUGGAGAAGAAACACUCGAGCUGCGUACACAGCUUGAAACUAGCAAAUAAUGACAUCGGUUCUGCUGGUCUGGUCACCUUGAUGAAGGCUGUCCACCCCUCCUCCUCCCUGCUGUGUCUCUCCGUCAACUCACAGAAUGCUAACUAUGAUGAAGACGAAAUGAGCGAGAUUUACACGAGCCUUGCUCUGUCACUUGGAUUUGUAUUCGACGCAAACUCUGAGCCCAGGAUGCACAGCAGCAAGUUACCUCCACUCUAUCACGGUCUGGUUAUCAAUCUAUGGAAUCUGGGAGGUGACCCAGGCCUGCUUGGAAAGCAACUUGAUAGUGUUGCCAUAGCAACUGACUACAAACAGAAACACAUUCCAAAUUUGACACUGUCCGACGUUUUGAAGAUUUCGUCCGUUCUCAAGGGUUCAGAUGAACCCGACUGCCUGAUGUCAAGUGAGCACUGGAACAUGAUAAUCGGAGCAGAUAAAGAGGCGCCAUCCUGGCUGCAAGUGGACUCGCUGCGAGAUGUGGCCGUCUACAUGACUAACCUUCCACCAGCCGUGACGCAACUCAAGCUGGAGGGAUUCUUGGAGGCUGAAGUAGAUUGCUCAGUGAAAGAAGUCUGUCUCAUGAAGGAUCCAGUCCUGCAUCAGAACAAUGGAUCGGCUUGGGUUUUGAUGAUGGACGCUGCAUCCGUCGAGAAAGCCGUUGAUUUCUACGAGAGUGGUCUGGCGCAGAUCAUUGGGCAGCCAUUCAACAUGUGCCGGGUUCAGGUCAAGGUUGAUGACUGCGCUAACACCCAGGCCGUCGCCAAGGCAAAGGCCGAGGUUGAACAGCGACUGAAGAAGCAGGAGGCUGACGAAGCUAGUCACAGGCAGCUGAUUGGUCGUUUAUAUCACGAGUCUCAAGCAAGGCACGAAUAUCGUCUCAAACAUCCUGCAUAUACUGAUGGGAGGAUUUGAUGCCCCAAGCCAAGUUCUCCAAUGCAACCGAUCAUGAAUGAUGUCUAUCGCGAGGUGAAGGAAGGUCCAUUCCGCGGACUCCGUAUGGAAGGCGUGUGCCAAGCAGCCGGCCGACGACUUGGCGGAGUCCAAAGCACGGUACGCUUUGUGUCUCUUGUCGGGCGCCCCUAGGGGACCCUGUCGUUCGGUUCUACGACUGAGGGGGUUCAGCAUGAGGGCGUGUCGUCUUCGUUCAUUUUGCCAUUUCAACGCGAAAAAGAGAGGUUUUUAUAUUAAAUAGGCCUUCCCUCUCUUACGCUGUUGAAGGGCUUAAGAAAGUUGACGACAUGGUGCGGGAUGGAGUCCGGGACGGGCUCCGGACUCGCCUUUGCCGUUUACCAGACGGCUCGCACUUAACUUGAUGGGUUAACCCUCUAUGCUCUCCGGCGGCAGUCGUAGAAGAUAUGCUCUCCGGCGGCAGUCGUAGAAGAUCAGGCACUGAAGUAGAUGAUAUUACAACAAACAGCAUAGACGGAAAGACCACCUCCGAAUGGAAGGAAGAGGGUCGGUGCGAUGGGGCAUGCUUGUUGAAGAGGGCUGAAGAUGCACGAUCGUGGCGUGACAGACGUCUGGGGAUGGAUUCGGACGCGAGCAAGAUGUGUGCCGCAUUUAGGGUAACUUCAUUUCAUUAUUUUUGAACCCAAUUUUAAAAAUUAUGAGCGAUUUAAAUCGUUAAGAUUCUUUUCAGGAAGAGCAUCCGGGAGACCAGUGCGAAGCAAGAUCCAUCUUGCAGAGCCAAGAACACCGCAGAGAGCCCAGCGUGUGACGAGAGCCCAGCGUGUGACGAGAGCCCAGCGUGUGACGAGAGCCCAGCGUGUGACGAGAGCCCAGCGUGUGACGCGAACCCAGCGUGACGAGAGCCCAGCGUGACGCAGCCCCACUAUACAGAGGUUUGAACAUGAUCCCAGUUUGAACACGACAAGGACUUGGACAACAGCCGUGCCCGGCCACCUGACACGAUCCUGCCAAGGGAAGCGGUUGUGCCGUUAUCUUUUGAUCGAUUCCAAACGGCCAGACAGCCGAUGGAGAAUGCUGCAGUGUUACUUCAGGUAAGCGGCCAGACAGCCGAUGGAGAAUGCUGCAGUGGUACUUCAGGUAAGCGGCCAGACAGCCGAUGGAGAAUGCUGCAGUGUUACUUCAGUUUUCCCAAAAGAUGGGCAACACCAGAACAAGGGAACCACUCGGCUCGAACUGCUGGAAAUGACACAGAAGUGGAAGUCCUCGUCCGGAGGCGGUGUAACAUCUGUGGUUGUUUCCCAUGUGUCAGUGUUUCCAAACAAUAGGCAGCUAGAGAGACCAUGACUUUUCAAUAGGGGGAAACACAGAAAAACUUGUCAAUCUAUCUUUUAGCGUUCCCAAACAAUGAGGGGAAACACUCAAAAAUAGAAACACUCAAAAACAUUACACCGGCAUCACCACAUCCAGGUCACAGGAUAUUCAUCACCACGACCAGGUCACAGGAUAUUCAUCACCACGUCCAGGUCACAGGAUAUUCAUCACCACGCCCAUCGCUCCAACUGCUGGAAAUGACACUCUCAAGGAUGUGCAUUGUAACUGGAGGUUGCAGAGAGUUUGCACCACCACACCCAGUCCUGGAUGGAAACAGAAUUUAUGAUCUAAUCAAAUGGAAGACCGCAAUUGUCCUGAGAUGACGAGGUUAAGUAGAAUUGUCCACAGACGUGCACGGAUAAUGAAAGUCUUGUACAUCCAGGGGACGGAAGAGGUAUCCAGGGGCUCGGUACGCAUACCAAUCCUGGAACAGACUCUCUAUCUAACUGUGUGAAGCUUUCGAUCGGACUGUGAAUAUCUCGAUAACACACGUGUUUAUAUGCAUAGACGUUUUCAUCGCGUAUCGUAUUCUUAAACGCAAACGCAAUUCUUAGUUCAGAUUGAAUCGCAAACGAAGGAUUCGCGAAAGCCACGGACCAUCGCUAGACUAUUUUAUUUUCUUCGCUCAGAUCGAACUGUUGAAAAUGUGGAUUAUAUUUAUGUACUUCAUUUGAACCACAAACGAAGGAUUUGGACAAGAUGCGUACCUCUAACCCCUUCAUUUGACGAGACGUGAUACCAAUCUCACAAGCACUGGAUGACGGCAUGCUUCAGGAAUCUCUUUACGACUGAUGCCAUGUGACGACGGGGGCACAUCUUGAGGCAAGAUGACACAAUGGAUGUGGAACCCUCGGCCCCUGAACGAUUGUCGCUAUGGGAGUCAUUAGCAACAGACUUCCUCUGGUGUAGUAUUGUAUAUUCGCUACCUGUAGGCCUCUGCAGAAGGAUACGUUGUAUUUUAUCGAAAUAUCUGAUUGAAAGGUGGUUUCAUUGCAAUUGUACGUUUAUCGAAUGUUUCACAGCUGGAAGGUCUUUAAAAGACUUUCCAUCAGUCAUAGUCAGUCACUCCUCCUAGAUGAUUGUUGAUUAAGAACCAGAACCAGAUCCAAAUAAGUCAAGGUUCUGAUGUACCAGGUCAAAAUUUACUAUCGAGCUGUUAAAAGUCACUUCAUUUUUCUCCAAAAUCACCAAAUUGAUCAGAUAUUUCAAUUUUCCCAUCGAAUGAGACAUGGGGUCCACGUGAUUCUGGUUGGUUCGACCCCAGCCAACCAGAACAUGUGUUGUCUUUGAUGGAACCGUAGGCCUUAUGAACUUUCUCGAUCCAUUCAGUACCACGAAUACCUGCGUUUAUUCCAAUCGGCUUCCGAGACCUGAUAGUGCCGGUCUCCAUUUGGGACAGUUAUGAAAUUGGCAUACUCUAGCCUCCAUUUUAUACAAGUAUCUUAAAUUUCCUUAAACACGGUAAUUAUCCGGGUGCCUUUCAUUCUUGGUUUCAUCAAUGAUAUGAUAACAAAGGUUAACCCCCAAGACCAAAACAAAUGCAAAAGAAUCGGGCAAAUUCAUUUCCAAAUUUUGAGAUUUCGUUGAAAUAUUUUGUUGAUUGAAAUUUUUCCAAAAUAUUCCAAAUUGAUGCUGGUUCCUGACCUUGCGGUCAAGUGGAAGAGCUCAGUCUUUUCAUGAUAAUUAGUCCAGAAAGAUUCAUCUUGUUUCUUUCUGUGAGUUAUAAAGAUAACAACUGCCCCAUCAAGAAGUUUCCUGUGGUACAGAAUGGGUCGAGCAAGCUGUCACCAACGUCAAUGUCUGACGUUUUAUGUAUUAAUUUGUUAUGUUUGUAUAAUGAUACAAUAUGUGAAAUUUACAUAUAAAAGCCAUAAUACAUGUAAAGGUGAAGGUGAAUUCAAAAAGUUACUUCUGUUGUUAAACUCGUCCAAAGCAACCGCUUUUGUCAUGCAAAUGAGAAGACUGAUCUGAACGCCUGAUCUAGAGGGGCCCCUUUUGUCAUGCAAAUGAGAUCACAGCACGGUCCUGUUGAUCGCCAUGACGAAAUUGGUUCUUUUGUUAUUUAAAUAACCGACUAACCGAUGUCGUGCUGUUUCGGAUCAAUGAGGUCAAGGUUCGUGACCUGAAUACACCACAGCAGUUCACCUUGCUUGCAUUUACAAUGGUUGUCGCUGCAUGCGACUCAAUUUAU